CAGGGCGUGGCUGAGAUAGUUAAGCAUCUCCCUUACACCGAGAAGACGUCCAUGCAAAUUGGAUCACCCUGA
rnacentral:tRNA from 1 species